CAGAACGAACGCUGGCGGCGUGCUUAACACAUGCAAGUCGAACGCGAAAGGGACUUCGGUCCUGAGUAAAGUGGCGCACGGGUGAGUAACGCGUAGAUAACCUGUCUUCAUGUCUGGAAUAAUACGCCGAAAGGGGUACUAAUACCGGAUAUUCUUGCUUUUCAUAAGUUAUGCAAGCAAAGGUGGCCUCUGCAUAUGCUACUGCAUGAAGAGGGGUCUGCGUACCAUUAGCUAGUAGGUGGGGUAAUGGCCUACCUAGGCGACGAUGGUUAGCGGGUCUGAGAGGAUGAUCCGCCACACUGGCGCUGGAACACGGGCCAGACUCCUACGGGAGGCAGCAGUGAGGAAUAUUGCGCAAUGGGGGAAACCCUGACGCAGCGACGCCGCGUGAGUGAGGAAAGGCCUUCGGGUCGUAAAGCUCUGUCAAGAGGAAAGAAGUGUACAAUGGCUAAUACCUGCUGUAUUUGACGGUACCUCUAAAGGAAGCACCGGCUAACUCCGUGCCAGCAGCGGC
rnacentral:rRNA from 1 species